rnacentral:lncRNA from 1 species
CAUGGACAUCCUGCUUCUACAUUAUUGUAGCACUUCUCACUCAUAGCUGCGACUUUGUGUGCUGAGUAUACACUUGCUUUGAUUCUUCUGAACAGGUAAUUAACUCGCACUUCUCUACAGAUUUGAGUCCUCCUCCCACCCGGAUUUUUGGAAGAGGCUUUGGGGUCUUAUGAGAUGACUUAUUUGGCUAGCAUUCAUCAGUGUGGCCACCAGAAAAAUGUUGGGUGGGUCUGAACAUGAAGAAAACAAUAAAAAUUGUCUGUACUGGAGGCAUUGUCCCCACCUCCCCCCAAACUCACCGAAGGCAAAGCAGAGAUCCUGUCUAUUUCUCAUCAGCUUCUUAAUUAUUCCUAGAAAUAAUAAUGGGUCACCAUUGUUGACCUCUCCAAUUCAUCUGCUACUUCUUUUAACUGGCCUCUUUGAUUUGGACCAACCGACUCACUUUCAGCCACAGUAAGGAAUCCUGGGGACGGGAGGAGGGCUAGAAAGCACUAAAUAUAAAUAUCUGCUUGCCUCAACUGCUCCCCAAAUGUUUUCCAUUACUGGAGCUUCGAGCGCAAGCACACGUCCAAGACAGCAAUCACAACAUCAAAUAGGGCCAAGAUGACCCCCCUCGGUCCCCCGACGUCCCAAUCAGUCACCACCUCCCGGAAGGAAAACAAACCGGCCCCAGACACAGCCCUCCACGUGCAGCGGGCGCCCCAAGGCUUCCCGGCAAAGGGGCGACGCGCGUCCCCAGCACUGCGCGCACCGCCGCGCCCUUCCAGGUGGCCUCGCGUACCUGGCGGCGGUGCCCGCGCCUCGGACGAGGCCGGCGGGCUGGGGUGCCGGCGGCGCGCGCGCUCGCCCGGGGGUCGGGACCCUGGCGGCGGCGGCGGCGGCGGCGGGGCCCCCUCCGCAGCUCCCCGGGCUCCCAUCGCCGCCCUCCCGCCCCGGGUGGGGCCGCGGCCGCGGGCUCUCGGCCGCUGCCUGGAAGCCAGAGGGUCAGAUUCAGUUUCACAACAAAGUCUCUCCCCGUCACUGCAACCGGACUGGAGGCCAAAGCGGCCGGGCAGCCCGGGCAGCGGCCGGAGCGCAGCCGCCGCGGGCGAAGCAACUCGCGAAAUUCUCACCUGCAAUCAGAUACAAUGACAUCGAUGGAGGCAAAAGGCACCAUGCGUUUACCUGCACUCUGUGCGAAUGGAAUUGGAUUGCCGAUGAGGCCAGGCGCAGGGGGGUGUGAAACUAUGUACAAAAUUAAAUGUGAGCGAGAAAUGCUGAUCAAAUCCUUUGGAAAGAGGUGUUUACUGUUCAAGAAAUACUGCGAACGUGGCUGCAAGGAUCAAUGGUGAAUGACUCACUUGAUGUGAAAAUCGAGCUAGGAAGCUUGGGAAGAGACAGAGAGAGAGAGGGAGACAGACAGACAGACAGACAGACAGAACGAGAGACCCUGUGGGGUCGCGCGUACUGGGGCUGUGGCAACGUGGGAGGAAUCGCAGAAGCAGAGACCGCCAAACGACGUGAGCCGGGCUCAGAUAGCUAAGCAAAAUUCACCUCGGAAAGGAGGCUUUUCUCUGCCGAUUUCGCCUUCACUCUAGGGAAGUCUAGCUCUUUUCCUAAGCCUCGUCUAUUUCCUCAAGCCUAGGACGCCGGCACAUUUUGAUGCUCUUGGAAAAGCCGCGGAGACUCUGGGUUGCUGGUGCUGUGUGCAGGCGCGUCCGGUCGCUCUGCCUGGUGGCUCUGCAAUUUGAUUUCAGGCCUUUUUCCCCCUUGGCAUUAUUUUUUGACUACUUGGGGGUGGGGGGGAACCAUAUAAGAAAUUCGAGAACAGACUGUGGGAUGCAGAACUGCACACGUGAUCUUGCAAAUGGGAUAGGAGGGUGGGGGAGGUGGGGAAGAGAGAAGUGAAACUAGAAAUUAUGGUACGGCUUUAGAAUUCCAGAAUCUCCCUUAUUCUUUCCCAAUAUAUAUUGUUUCUGAUUCUUCACAGCUGCGCUUACCCAAUAAAAGUGGAAGAGGGAAGAUAAUGGCCUGAAUA